rnacentral:rRNA from 1 species
AACGAACGCUGGCGGCAGGCCUAACACAUGCAAGUCGAACGCCGUAGCAAUACGGAGUGGCAGACGGGUGAGUAACACGUGGGAACGUACCCUUCGGUUCGGGAUAACUCAGGGAAACUUGAGCUAAUACCGGAUACGUCCGAGAGGAGAAAGAUUUAUCGCCGAGGGAUCGGCCCGCGUCUGAUUAGCUUGUUGGUGAGGUAACGGCUCACCAAGGCGACGAUCAGUAGCUGGCUGAGAGGAUGAUCAGCCACAUUGGGACUGAGACACGGCCCAAACUCCUACGGGAGGCAGCAGUGGGGAAUAUUGGACAAUGGGCGCAAGCCUGAUCCGGCCAUGCCGCGUGAGUGAUGAAGGCCCUAGGGUUGUAAAGCUCUUUUGUGCGGGAAGAUAAUGACGGUACCGCAAGAAUAAGCCCCGGCUAACUUCGUGCCAGCCGCCGCAGUAAAA